rnacentral:lncRNA from 1 species
UUCCUUUGAAGAACUCAACGCUCCAGGCAUCAUCUUGAAAGCGGAGAAAGCAGACCAUGUGGUUGAUCUUCAGUUAUCCUGAGUCAGCAGGUGGGCCAUUUACAUCACCACGACAGUGUCCACAGGAGUUCCAGUUCCCUAAAUUCUCACCAAGACUGGUCAUCCUCUGUUGGAAAAAAACAUUCUAACAGGCAUCAGGGAUUUCUUGACAAUGGCAAUGAUGUGACGCCAUCCAGCAUCUAUUUGUGAGAACUCUAUUUGACAAAUCAUCACUGUGGGUGUGAACAUAAUGGAGACUUUCAUAGGAU